AGCAUAUGGAGGUUCCCAGGCUGGGGGUCGAAUCGGAGCUGUAGCUGCUGGCCUACACCAGAGCCACAGCAACUCGGGAUCCGAUCCACAUCUGCAACCUACACCCCAGCUCACGGCAACGCUGGAUCCUUAACCCACUGAGCAAGGCCAGGGAUCGAACCUGCAACCUCAUGGUUCCUAGUCGGAUUCGUUAACCACUGAGCCACGAUGGGCACUCCUGUAGCCAUCUCUUAACAGAAAUUUAAAAACUGCCCCUCUUUGUAGGAAGAACAGUCUGAUUCAGCCCCUUUCCACAGAUCAGCUCUUUUAGAUAAGAAUAUUAUAAAUUGGAUAAUAAAACCAAAUUUCCAAAAAAGAAAAAGAAAGAAGAUCCAUGCGUUACAUCUGCUCUAAGCCAUGCAUAGACUUCGGGGAUCCCUCCUCAGCAAUUCCUUUGUAAUGCUAUCUACACCCUCUCAGAAUUAGUUAAGUUCAUGUGGUAGGCAGCUAAUCAGGGUGUCGGUUUUUAAUUAAAAAUUAGGACACAAUACUGAGAAAAAUCUCCCCUUGACUAAUCCAAGCACUCAGGCACUCAAAUUCCGUUUAAACAAACCAUAGCCUGAUUAGGUAUUUGCUACAUUUCAAUUUCUUUCAUUUGCAAAGUCAAAUUGGAGAUCAUAAACAUCAUUUAAAAUAAAAGGGUCUAAAAACUACCACCGACAUUUGUGAAGAAGAUAAACACAACAUGGAACUUAAAGGAGUAGGAGAGUUCCUGCCGUGGCACAGUGGGUUAGGAAUCUGACUGCAGCGGCUCUGGUCCCAGCAGAGGUGUGGGUCUGAUCCCCUGCCCAGUGCCUGUGGGUAAAAAGGAUGUGGCAUGGCCACAGCUGCAGCAUAGGUCGCUGCCUAAACACAGUUCUUCAUUGCCUCUGUCUUAGCUCAGGAUGCUGUAAUAAAGGACCACAGACUGGGUGGGUUCAACAAUAGUUCUGGGGGGCUGGAGGUUUGAGGUCCUGCACCCUGAGGUGCCAGCAUUGUUGGGUCCUGCUGAGAGCUGUCUUGCAGUUGGCUGCCUGCUUACGAAGCUCUCACGUGGCCCAGAGAGGAAGCUCUGGUUCUCUUCCUAUAAGGGCGCUAAUCCACCCUCAUAACCUCAUCUAAACCUAGUUACCUCCCAAAAGUCCACCUCUAAACACUGUCACACGAGGGCUUGGGGCUUCAAGAAUUUGGAGGAGAGGUAAACAUUCAGUUGAAAACCACCCCCUCGCUUGAAAGCCCUUGAUAAUAUCUCCUGUCCCUGAUUCCCCACUGCCCCCCAAACCAACCUCAUCCUUCACCUUACAGGCUGCCCCUCAUCCAUUCCGAACCCCCUGCCACUUGGUCUUCCAGUUAUUUCUUAUGCAUUAGGUUCCCUCAGCCUGCGAUCCCUUCCUCGUCUACUUGAAUGAUUCCUACUCUUUUAAAAUAGCGAGUAUAGCCUCUCACCUCUCGCCUGUUUACUCUCUGGCUUCUCCUUGUUCAGUCAGUGAGGGCAUUUAUUCUCAGAAAUAAGUUGUCCCAGGAACUAUUCUUUCCUUCACAUAAAUCAGUAAAACAAAAGACAAAAAAGUCCAUCCUUGCCUCUUGAUUUUCUCAGGGGAAGAGAGGCCACAGGCUUCAGAAAAUAAUAAGGCAUAAAAGCAGUUUUCUUUCCUCCCGGAUGAAGCCGCCAGAGAGGAAUCCUCUAUGAUCUGGAGAGGAAGGCGUUGCAGCAGAAAUGCGGAAGGAGGGAGCAUCAGGGGAGAGGCCAGGAGAAACAGGUCUCUCAGAGAAGGGUGUGUGAUGGAGGGCACGGGGGGGCUGCAACCCCCGACCCUCACCCCCGGGAGAAUCUACUCAGAGACGGGGUGGUGUGUGGUCCAUCUCAGCAGAGGCCCUGGAGCCCCAUGCAGGAGCCCCACUCCUGGAAGCUGUGGCAUCUCUGGAUGGUGUCAUGCAGGAAAGUGCCAUAGGAUUAUAGCGCCACAGUUUCCCAAAGGGCAGCAGCAGGGACAGCAGGAAGAAAGUUGCUGGAGGAAUGUGUAGGUUGGAAGUGUCCUCUAACUGAAAGUGAGAGAUGACCUGGGGAGGGGGGACCUGCAUGGACCUGCCCUUCAGAGCUGCCAGGACCCCUUCCCCCACAGCACCGAGGUAUUACAAACAUUCCUCAGAGGUGGCUGCAACCCCACACGGACUAAGGAGAAGAAUCCACUAUCUGGCAGAAGGGGCAUGUGUAAGAUAAAAGCUGGAUUAACAAAAUAAUAAAAUCAAGCGUAUUUCACAGCACGAGCUAUAGACAGAGAUCCCAACCCAUACAAGUCUUCAACUCAAUGUUGAUAGCCUUCUUAUGAAACUUCAGAUAACUCUCCUUGGGAAAGUAAGGGGCUCUUGCUUUUUAUUUUUAAGAUUUUAUUUAUUUUUAAGUCGGAUUGGCGUAUAGUUGACUUACAAUGUUGAGCUAGUUUCAGGUGUACAGGAAAGUGAUUCAGUUAUACAUCUACAUAUAUCCAUUGCUUUUCAGAUUCUUUUCCCAUAUGGGGCAUUACAGAAUAUUGAGUAGAUUUCCCUGUGCUAUAUAGUAGGUCCUUGUUACUUAUCUGUUUUAUACAUAGUAGUAUGUAUAUGUUAAUCCCAACUUCCUAACUUAUCUCUUGCCCCCCGCCCCACGUUUCCGCUUAGGUAACCCUAUGUUAAAUUUGAAAUCUUUGAGUCUGUGUCUGUUUUGUAAGUAAGUUGUGCAUCAUUUUGUAAAAAAAAUUCCUUCUUGAGCAGGUUAUUAUAAGAGUUAACGAUGGCAAGUCUGUAAAAGACUCAUCGUAGCACCUGAUUCGUUGACAGCCCUUAGUAACGGAUGGAUUAUAUUUCACUUUGUUGGGUUCACCGCUGUGUGGUGCCUGGCACAAAACCGACAGUCAUAUGUGCUCAGGGAAUUGCAUCAUGCCCUAGAAUCUGGUUCAUAGAAAAGAGUGGUAUAUGUGAUAUCUGUACAUUUAUAGAUUAUGCUCCACUCCAGAUCUGUGCAGUGGCCAUAGCCUAUCCAUGCAGUAUAGUGGAGAAUGGAGGCAGAGGUCACUUUUGUUAACUGUCUAGCUUCCUAAAAUCAGAACAGCAGGGAACAAGGAAGUUUGCUUGGCCAAAACAUGAUACCCUUAUCUGGAAUAUGAGACCCAUUAUCUCUAUUUCUUGGACCACUGCAAAUUCUGGCUCUGAUUCUGGCUUAUGGAAUGUACAAGAUCUCUCAGGGCUACACCGUCCACACAUGGAGCUUAACACCCAUCACAAUUCUUUAUCUUUGUGGCGUCUGGUUAAAUUUGCAAAUAACACUUAAAGAGGCCACUAAAAGAUGCAGGGCUGUGUCACAGGAGGAGAUGUCAGUGGCUGUCAGGAGACGACAGGAAGCAAAAGUUCUGCUUUCCCAGGAGAAAGAAAAGGAAGCCGGUGGGUCACAGGAGGAGGGAGCAGCAGGACAGCACCUCCUUCCUGGUGGCACCAGCCGCCCCUUCUGGCGCUGCAUCCCAGGUCGCCCUGCCUACUGGGCAUGCCGCUGGGACAUCGGACCACGGGGCACGAUGCUGGGCUCCUGGGAGAGGUCGGUGGCUGUGACUGCUCAGCAGCAUUAAGCAAAGUGCCACCAGCAUCACUCAUCAGAUAGCUGGUAAGUGUCUAUCUGCAUGCGGUAGAAAAUUAAUUAGGGAGCAGACCCACCGUGAAGGUGUGAGACGACCAAGAGGGUGACUUGAUGCCUGCUGCGCUUGGCUAGAAAAAAGGAACUCUGCGAAUUAAUUGCCAGCUAAGAAGGAAAUGAAAUGUUCGGUCUGAUCCAGCAGUCCUUCUCUUUCUUUUCUUCCUUCUCCCUGCCCUGUCCUGUCAUUCUCUUCCUCCUCCCUCUUUCUUCACCAACCAGGCCCCGGCAUCCCUUAUGAGAUAUUAUUUGAACAGCCAUCAUGACAGGUUAGGGAACUUUUGUCCAAGGAUGACAUAAAACCCCAAACCUUCCAUGGGAGCCAGAAGGGAGAAAGGGAAACGAGAUGAUUUUUGUAAGAGGUCCCACACCCAGGAAAAUGGAACUCAAAGGACUCUUAAUGAGGCUCUAGUGCUAAGAAAGGGUUGUGACUAAGUUGAGAGGUGGCAUCUAUUUUUUCCAUUGGGGUCUGAACUUGGAUUAACAGACAAACUAGAGAUGGAUGGAGAGAGGGAAUAUGUGUUGGGGAAGCACACCACGAGUUUGCCGCAAAGCACUGAGCUGUGCUUUAGGGAACCAAGAUAGGCAGAGCCACUUUCCUUAUCUCACUGGGUGCUUCCUUUUUUGGAGGAGUGUGGUGCUGUCAAGAUAUUAGACCGGGGUUUCUCAUCCUGGACAUUACUGACAUUUCAAGGUGUGGGCCCAUCCUGUGUAUUGAAAGAUGUCACACAGCAUUGCUGGUCCUGCCGACUGGGUACCAGUAACACUCUCCCAAGCUGCGACAACCAAAAGGCCUCCAGAUGUUGCCAGCUGUCCCCUGGGAGGCAAACUCUCCCAUGGGUGAGAACCACGGCUUCAGAGGGUAGCUUGUUGUUUUUUACAACUGAUUUCUGGAGUCUAAAAUGGAGCAGAAAGCUUUCUGAGAGUGAACUGACACUGAUUCCAGGUUGUUCCAAGUUCUAGAGUAGAAGGAAUUGAAAUUUUGUGUCGCCUGCUGAGAAAUUCCUCCAUUUCUCUGGGUAUAAUAGGUAUGUUGAUAGCUUUCACUUAGGGAUGCAUGUGUAGCUAAAACAGUUUUUCAAAAGUCUAAAGCAAAAGACUGCUUGUGGAGAUGCCAGAGAGGUAAAGGGGGAAUAAAGACAGAAAUAAGAGCCAUUUCGCUUCUUUUGUAAAAAAUCAUAGAUUAGGAUGAUGAUAUUAAAAUCCAUAGAGAUUAAAA
rnacentral:lncRNA from 1 species